rnacentral:rRNA from 1 species
GACAGAGGGUGCAAACGUUGUUCGGAAUUACUGGGCGUAAAGCGCGUGUAGGUGGCGAGGCAAGUCGGGUGUGAAAGCCCUGGGCUCAACCCAGGAAGUGCACUCGAUACUGCCUAGCUAGAGUCCCGAGAGGUUGGUGGAACUCUCGGUGUAGAGGUGAAAUUCGUAAGAUAUCGAGAAGAACACCGGUGGCGAAGGCGGCCAACUGGACGGUGACUGACAACUG